rnacentral:rRNA from 1 species
GACGAACGCUGGCGGCGUGCUUAACACAUGCAAGUCGAACGGAAAGGCCCGGCUUUUGUGGGCUGCUCGAGUGGCGAACGGGUGAGUAACGCGUGAGUAACCUGCCUUUGACUGUGGGAUAACUUCUGGAAACUGGGGCUAAUACCGGAUAAGAGCUCUUGUUGCAUGGGAGCGGUUGGAAAGUUUCGGCGGAUGGGGUGGGAUUCGGGCCUUAUCAGCUUGUGGGCGGGGUAGUGUCUUAGCAGGGCUUGGACGAGUAGCCGGCCUGGGAGGGUGACAGGCCCCAUUGGGACUGAGAUGCGACCCGGACUCCUCCGGGAGGCAGGGGUGGAGAAUAGUGCACAAUAGGCGGAGGGCUGGUGUAACACAGCCGCGUGGGGGAUGUCGGGCAUCGGGUAGUAAACCGAUUUCGCCUGUGACGAAGCGAGAGUGACGGUAAUGGAUAAAGAAGCACCGGCUAACUACGUG